rfam:Wickerhamomyces ciferrii, NRRL Y-1031 F-60-10, WGS project CAIF01000000 data, contig: 00011
GCCUUUUUGGCCAAGUGGUAAGGCAUCGCACUCGUAAUGCGGGGAUCAUGGGUUCAAUUCCCAUAGGAGGCA